rnacentral:rRNA from 1 species
UACGAAGGGGGCUAGCGUUGCUCGGAAUUACUGGGCGUAAAGGGCGCGUAGGCGGCCUUCUAAGUCGAACGUGAAAUCCCCGGGCUCAACCCGGGAACUGCGUCCGAUACUGGAAGGCUUGAAUCCGGGAGAGGGAUGCGGAAUUCCAGGUGUAGCGGUGAAAUGCGUAGAUAUCUGGAGGAACACCGGUGGCGAAGGCGGGUCUCUGGGCCGAUACUGACGCUGAGGAGCGAAAGCGUGGGGAGCGAUCCGG